UACGUAGGGUGCGAGCGUUGUCCGGAAUUAUUGGGCGUAAAGAGCUCGUAGGCGGUCUGUCGCGUCGGUCGUGAAAACUUGGGGCUUAACCCUGAGCUUGCGGUCGAUACGGGCAUGACUGGAGUUCGGCAGGGGAGACUGGAAUUCCUGGUGUAGCGGUGAAAUGCGCAGAUAUCAGGAGGAACACCGGUGGCGAAGGCAGCUCGCUGGGACGUUACUGACGCUGAGACGCGAAAGCGUGGGGAGCAAACAGG
rnacentral:rRNA from 1 species